AACCUAGCACACCUGCGGUGUGUACCUGCGGAAGGAUCAUUAUCGAGUGUAAUCUACCCCUUUAAAAAAGGGUAGUACCUCCCGUCCUUUGCAGGCCUCUUUUUUUAUUAGGGGGGGCUUUUUAAGACUUUCUGCUUCGGCGGGGUUACUCCCGCCGGAACACCCUCAAAAAAUUCUCGAAAAAAAUCGUUCAGUCCGAGAACUUUUUAAAAAUAAAAUAAAACUUUUAACAAUGGAUCU
rnacentral:misc_RNA from 1 species